rnacentral:rRNA from 1 species
UCCUACGGGAGGCAGCAGUGGGGAAUAUUGGACAAUGGGCGAAAGCCUGAUCCAGCCAUGCCGCGUGUGUGAAGAAGGUCUUCGGAUUGUAAAGCACUUUAAGUUGGGAGGAAGGGCAGUUACCUAAUACGUGAUUGUUUUGACGUUACCGACAGAAUAAGCACCGGCUAACUCUGUGCCAGCAGCCGCGGUAAUA